rnacentral:rRNA from 1 species
CCCUUAGAUGUUCUGGGCCGCACGCGCGCUACAAUGAUGCAACCAACGAGUGCUGCUCCUUGGCCGAGAGGCCCGGGGAACCUUGCAAACUGCAUCGUGCUGGGGAUAGAUGAUUGCAAUUCUUCAUCUUGAACGAGGAAUGCCUUGUAAGCGUGAGUCAUCAACUCGCGCUGAAUACGUCCCUGCCCUUUGUACACACCGCCCGUCGCUCCUACCGAUUGGAUGGCCCGGUGAAGUGGUCGGAUCGGUGGCGCCCGCGCGGUCGCGUGGGAAGCCCCGAGAAGUCCAGUGAGCCUUGCCAUCUAGAGGAAGGAGAAGUCGUAACA